CAAAACAAAAGGGUAAGGAAGAGGAAGGGCCCCCUUUCAACCAAAGUCCAGAAGCCCUCUGAAGUUCCAAAGACAACCUGGAAGGGAAAAGGGACCCUUCGAGAAAGUUCCAGGAAAAAAACCACUCCCAAAAAGACUACCACUUCAAGAAAACCCGAGGAAGGGAAUGGGCCAGCACUAUCCAGCCACUAUGACCAGCUGAAUAGGAAACUCACUCAAAAUGAGCCAUAGCAGGACCAAGUUAGCCAGGAGACCUCCACAAUCUCCAGCGUCUCCCUGGACAGCCAGUAAUUUCAAGGCAAGUUCAGAGGCCUAGAUCUAUCUGAGAGGUCUCCAGAGAUCUGACCCCAGAGAACUAGCUAGCAGGGUCUAGGAUACAUUCUAUACCCCACAGGGUACGCCCCAUGGUGAUGAAAAUAAAAUGAAUCUGUUGU
rnacentral:lncRNA from 1 species